UCUUCGUACCAGUUAUUUCAUCGUGGAAACUGGUUCAUGCCGGCUUUUAAAGCUUUACAACCAGAGUUGAAGAAAUCAUGGACAUAGAGGACCACUUUUUUUAAAAAUAGUGGUGCGUGGUCUUACAUGACGGAGCUUAGUAAGGGAAAACAACAAGGGGUGGAAAAUGAAUGACUUGUGGAUAAACUGAAACAGGUGAAAAAGAGGGCCACAGCUGUACAAAUUAGGAAAGCAGUCGAGAACAAUUAACGCAAAUUCCUUUUCGAGGCCACUGUCGUUAAUUUUGAUUCACUGAUAGUGAAUUUCCGGACCCUCUACAUUCCUGCUGAUCCUGGGUUUGAUUCAAGCUGUUCCUCUGCAGGACAAGAAUUUUCAGCAAAAAAAAAAAAAAA